AGUGAGACAGUCUAAAAAAAACUUUAAACCUGCUGACCUUUACAGGCCUCUGCUCUGGGGUGAUGGCCAGCCCUGGUGUCUGAGUCACU